CUCUACCUUGAGGAGCUAUUCCUCCGGUAGUUCACCUUGUUAUCUUCUAAGCAGUGGGGAUACGCCAGGCACCAUAAGGAAACAACAGUUCUCAGAUACGGGACAGGAGGCACCUCAGGACCACGCUCACUAAGAGAAGGGAGACAACCAAGGAAGGAAAUGUACAGUGGAUUGCACCAUGAUUUCUCCUCAGUGUCGCAGG